rnacentral:rRNA from 1 species
CGAACGAGCACCGAUUUCUUCGGAAUGACGUGCUGAGUGGCGGACGGGUGAGUAACGCGUGGGUACCUGCCUUAUACAGGGGGAUAACAGUUAGAAAUGACUGCUAAUACCGCAUAAGAUUGCAUGAUAAAAACUCCGGUGGUAUAAGAUGGACCCGCGUCUGAUUAGCUGGUUGGUGAGGUAACGGCCCACCAAGGCGACGAUCAGUAGCCGACCUGAGAGGGUGACCGGCCACAUUGGGACUGAGACACGGCCCAAACUCCUACGGGAGGCAGCAGUGGGGAAUAUUGCACAAUGGGGGAAACCCUGAUGCAGCGACGCCGCGUGAGCGAAGAAGUAUUUCGGUAUGUAAAGCUCUAUCAGCAGGGAAGAAAAAAAUGACGGUACCUGACUAAGAAGCCCCGGCUAACUACGUGCCAGCAGCCGCGGUAAUACGUAGGGGGCAAGCGUUAUCCGGAUUUACUGGGUGUAAAGGGAGCGCAGGCGGUGCGGCAAGUCUGAUGUGAAAGCCCGGGGCUC